rnacentral:rRNA from 1 species
GACGAACGCUGGCGGCGUGCUUAACACAUGCAAGUCGAACGGAAAGGCCUGCUUUCCCUUGUGGAUUGCGGGUGCUCGAGUGGCGAACGGGUGAGUAACACGUGAGUGAUCUGCCCCCAACUUGGGUAUAAGCCUGGGAAACUGGGUCUAAUUCCCGAUAGGACUGCAGGGUGGUGCCUGUGGUGGAAAACGAUUUUCUAGUGGUUGGGGAUGAGCUCGCGGCCUAUCCGCUUGUUGGUGGGGUAAUGGCCUACCAAGGCGGCGACGGGUAGCCGGCCUGAGAGGGUGGACGGCCACAUUGGGACUGAGAUACGGCCCAGACUCCUACGGGAGGCAGCAGUGGGGAAUAUUGCACAAUGGGCGGAAGCCUGAUGCAGCGACGCCGCGUGGGGGAUGACGGCCUUCGGGUUGUAAACUCCUUUCGACCGCGAGGAAGCCACCUGGUUGGAAGGGUGGUGACGGUAGUGGUAGAAGAAGCACCGGCUAACUACGUG